CCCGCCUGCCACGUGGCACGGAAAAGGGGGGGAGGGGGAAAAAAAAGUGGCCCGGAAUGUCUGGGGCCCAAAACGCGCGAUUUUUCGCGAAAAGUUGGAAAGGUACCACGUGUUCCGCGGGCUUUUUUUGGGGCCCGAAACGCGUGAUUUUUCACGAAAAGUCGGGGAGGUACCCCACAUUUCGCGGGGCGCGUUUUGGGGCCCAAAACGCG
rnacentral:lncRNA from 1 species